rnacentral:lncRNA from 1 species
UAUGAACGAAGAGUAAACAAUUUGCACGUGUAGCUUCCUUCAUCCACAGCUGAGAAAUUUCUGAUCUUGAGUAUGCAUUCAAUAGUGUCGUUUCCACCAAUGAUAUCAAUAUUAGGGUUUUUAAGUUUUGGAUUCAUCAAGUGUCCUUCAUUGUAUUGUAUGUAUGUUUUAUGUGUCGAAUUUCUUUCCAUUGACGGUUUUAUUGCCUGAUUUGGUAUAUGCCAACCACAUUCAAAUUUUUGACGACGAUGACAAUUAAGUUCAAC